UACGUAGGGUGCAAGCGUUAUCCGGAAUUAUUGGGCGUAAAGAGCUCGUAGGCGGUUUGUCGCGUCUGCUGUGAAAACCGGAGGCUCAACCUCCGGCCUGCAGUGGGUACGGGCAAACUAGAGUGCGGUAGGGGAGAUUGGAAUUCCUGGUGUAGCGGUGAAAUGCGCAGAUAUCAGGAGGAACACCGGUGGCGAAGGCGGGUCUCUGGGCCGAUACUGACGCUGAGGAGCGAAAGCGUGGGGAGCGAACAGG
rnacentral:rRNA from 1 species